rnacentral:rRNA from 1 species
UGGGGAAUAUUGCACAAUGGGCGCAAGCCUGAUGCAGCCAUGCCGCGUGUGUGAAGAAGGCCUUCGGGUUGUAAAGCACUUUCAGCGAGGAGGAAGGCAGUCGUGUUAAUAGCACGGUUGAUUGACGUUACUCGCAGAAGAAGCACCGGCUAACUCCGUGCCAGCAGCCGCGGUAAUACGGAGGGUGCAAGCGUUAAUCGGAAUUACUGGGCGUAAAGCGCACGCAGGCGGUUAGUUAAGUCAGAUGUGAAAUCCCCGCGCUUAACGUGGGAACUGCAUUUGAAACUGGCAAGCUAGAGUCUUGUAGAGGGGGGUAGAAUUCCAGGUGUAGCGGUGAAAUGCGUAGAGAUCUGGAGGAAUACCGGUGGCGAAGGCGGCCCCCUGGACAAAGACUGACGCUCAGGUGCGAAAGCGUGGGGAGCAAACA